AGGUAGAGUUUAAUAACGUUUCAUUUACACUGAAAAAAUUCUUUAGGGAUACUUAGAGG
rnacentral:tRNA from 1 species